rnacentral:rRNA from 1 species
AUGGGCGCCAGCGGGGGCGGGGAAGACAAGCCCUUCAAUUUCCUCCAGAUCCUCUGCGAGGGCGUCAUAGCCGGAGGCGCCGCCGGGGUCGUGGUGGAGACGGCGCUCUACCCCAUCGACACCAUCAAGACCAGGCUUCAGGCUGCUCGAGCUGGAAGUCAAAUUCAAUGGAAAGGCCUGUAUUCCGGAUUGGGUGGAAAUCUUGUCGGUGUUCUCCCGGCUUCUGCUCUGUUUGUGGGAAUAUACGAACCAACUAAACGGAAGCUACUGGACAUGUUUCCUGAAAAUUUGAGUGCUGUUGCUCAUCUUACUGCAGGUGCUGUUGGAGGGUUGGGUGCCUCUCUCAUUCGUGUCCCCACAGAGGUGGUCAAACAAAGGAUGCAAACUGGUCAAUUCAGGACUGCGCCUGAUGCUGUUCGUCUCAUAGUUGCCAAGGAAGGAUUUAGAGGUCUUUUUGCUGGUUAUGGUUCAUUUUUACUUCGAGAUCUUCCGUUUGAUGCCAUUCAAUUCUGCAUAUAUGAGCAACUUCGAAUUGGUUACAAGCUUAUGGCAAAGAGGGAGCUGAAGGAUCCAGAGAAUGCACUAAUUGGUGCUUUUGCCGGUGCGAUUACUGGCGCUAUAACGACCCCCCUCGAUGUUCUGAAGACAAGGUUGAUGAUUCAGGGGCAAACAAAGCAAUACUCUGGAAUUGUAAGCUGUGCUAAGACCAUCUUGAGAGAGGAAGGUCCCGGCGCCUUUUUGAAGGGCAUUGAGCCUCGAGUUCUGUGGAUCGGCAUCGGCGGAUCCAUAUUCUUCGGCGUGCUGGAGAAGACCAAGUCGGUGCUCGCUGAGAGGAGCAGCCGCAAGGCUGCGCUGGCGGAGAAGGACGAGUGA